ensembl:lncRNA
AAACAGCCUACAAAGCGCAGACAGGUGCAAAGAUCUCUGCCUCCAUUCUUUCUGUGCUUCCUCCCUCUCCGAGACAGACCCAGCCCCCUCUGGUCAAGACCGCAUCUCCUCCUAUCUCCUGCGGAUCUGGCUCCAUCACAGAUGGGAACAGGAGGCACUGAGCAGUUGAGUAUUUGCCCUGGUCACAUCGAAUCAGGAUUAGGGCAAAGGCACUCUGGCUCCAAAGCCUGAAUGUUCUUCUGCUUUGUACCAACGCAAGGUGCCUUGAAGGAAAAAGCACAGGAGAAGACGGCGUGGACGUGUCCCAUGCAUUCAUGCAUUCAUUUGUUGAUUAUUUAGCACUUACUGAGGGUCUACCGUGUGCAAGGCAGAGGGAUAAAGACACACAUCUGCCAUUAAGAUGCUCAGAACCCAAGGAGGGAGGAGCCAGUAACGUGUCGUGAAAGAGCUCUGUGAUGGCUCCACUCUCAGGCUCCCCUUGGUUGCAAACUGCAGCAGGUCCAGUGUCUGCACCUUCCUUCUUCAUGUCCAGUGCAAAGAAGAGGUCUGAUUUCCUCAUAGCUCAAAUAAAAGCCCAGAACUGUGUUUCACUGGCUCUGACUUGGGACUGAACCAAUUGCUGGGGCCAGUGAGGUGGAGACUACUGAUUGGCUCAGCCUGGGUCAUACGUCCCACCUCUGAGCCCAGGAAUUGGAGGCAGCUUCGCCAAGAAGCCCAUGGCGGGGAGUGGAGGCUUUGUGACAGGUCUGGCAUGUUCUGCGAGCUGAGCGUGAGGAGGUAAUCAGUACCAGCAAGGGUGACGGGGACAGGUUUAACUGUAUCUUCUAGGAGAUAGAAAUAUUUAAAUAGAAUGAGAUGCUCACUUUUGUAUUUUAAGAAUAUAACUCUGACAGUUACGGAAAGGAUUUAUGUGACUUAAGAGAAAAGGUUAUUGUAGUUGUUGAGAGAUGUUGGGGACCUGAACUAAGUGGCAAUAAGAAUAAAUAGGAGGGAGGGGACUCAAGAGAUAUUUCUGAAGUAUACUGUCAGGAUUUGUUAUCCAGUUGGAAAAGAAGAUUUAGAGAGGGAGGAAUCACCAAUGACUCUAAAAAUUCUAGUUUGGGAAAUUGGGUUGUUGCUAUACCAUUAGUGAGAUUAGGACUAUAGAUUGUUAAAUGGGUUUUGGAGAAUUCAGUUUGGACAUGUGGCAUUGGAGAUGUCUUGAGGACAUGCAGGAAGGCCAAUGGGCAGAUGAACAUACAAAUCUGGAAUUCAGGAGAGAGCUGGAAGUCGCUGGUGUCUGAACGGUAGUGGGAGCAGGGGCAAUGGGUGCGAUCACGCGAGGAGAGAUGUGGAGGGAGAAGAACAGGAGGGGCAGCUACCAGGACGGGACACUGAGGUGAAGCGGCCAGAGAGGACGAGUGGUGUUUUGGAAUCAAAGGAGAGAGGGUUUCAAGAAGGGGGAGUGGUCCACAGCAUCAUAUUUUGCAAAAAAAAUCAAGGAGGAUGAAGGCUAGAAAUAGAAUGUAGACUUGACAACCAGAAGGCCCCUGCCACCCUCACAAGAGCCAGGUUAGAGGGUCUAGCGUGAGUCUGUGGGAGGCGACAGGGCACACGUGGACCAUCAUUAUUCAACAAGUCUGAUGAUGAGACUGCUGGGCAGUGGCUUGAGGAGCUGUGCCAAAUCAUUUUUAUGUAUUUGUUUUGCAAUUUUUUAUUUUCAUUUGGUUUUGUUUGUUUCCUUUUUUAAAGUUUGAUUUGGUUUGUUUGAUGAGUUUUGAGCAAGCUGUUGGGAAAAAACUAAGAGAGAGAGAAAGACUGAAGAGAAAGAGAUUUUCCAUAGAGAUGGAAAGCAGAUUAGUGGUUCCCAGGGGCAGGAGAGCAACGGAGAGUGCUGGCCUAGUGGGUGUGGGAUUUCCUUUUGGGGUGAUCAAAACGUUCUAGAACUAGAUAGUGGUGAUAGUUGUACAUUGUUGUCAAUUUACUAAAUGCCACUGAGUUUUACACUUUGAAAUGGUUGAAAUGGUGAGUUUUUUGUGUGUGUUUUACACCCUCCCCCAAGCACACACAUAAAUAGUGAUCUUAUAUACCAUGCUUGGUGGGUUUUAUGUGGAUAAUUUCACUUAAUCCUCACAACAACUUUAUAACAACUUUACCACCCCACUUUAUACAAGAGAAAAACUGAAGUUCAGAGAGAUUAAUUAAUUAACCCAAGGUCACACAGCUAGAUUGGAGAUUCCAACCCAAGCUGAUUUAACCACAAAGCCAAACUCCUAACC